UUCAGCCCUUGCCUGGACAGAGGUGGCCGCUAGAGUCAUCAGCAUGGACACUGGCACCAGUGACUACAUAGGUCCCAGGAUCGUAGCCAGCCACCUCGGGUGCCUCCGGAGACCACUUGAGAAGUGCAGAGACUGUGGGCCAGCCCCUCAUUCUUGUCUGAGACAGUGAUGCCCUCCCCACUCAGUAAUUAUGCACAGCUAGCAGAGGUGGGAGCUGGGUUCUCCCACACCCUGCAGCAAAUCGGAAAUCCCAGGGUGAGGACAGGAGGAUAGAAUUGUUGUGCCAGCUCAGCACCCACUCCUCUUGUGUGCCCAGGCAGGCUGCUGAGAUCCCCCAGCAUUCUGGGCUGGGCAAGAACUCAGAUUUCCACCUGAGGUUGGAGAAGCUUCAGAGUUCAGCCCCUGACCAGCAGAGUCCUGGGAGAGAGGGCAGUGCUAGCAGAUAAAAUCUCAGCCAAUGGGGCUGUGCAGGUGGCCCCAAGGCCUCCAGCUCCACAGAUAAGAAUCAGAAGCACAGCCAUCUCAAUUAGAAAGCAAUUUGAGUUAUCACGCUAAUUAAAGGGGUGUGCAGGCACAAGACCUGACUAGAUCUAGAUCCCUAACGUUAACAAAAAUCAGAUGGUUGAGAAUAAGAAUUUCACAUAAAUAGAAAUGUGAAAGUACGAUGUGCAACUGAGAAGUUGCCAUGAUUUUUUCUUUUCAGGCUGUUGGUAAUUUUCAUCAUCAGAUACAUUAUUUCUGAUGGGGGAGGGGUGGGGGUGUGUGAAUAGGGCCGCUGACUUUUUUGUUCAUUUAAAAUCAGUAUAAUUUGCUGAAGAAGGUUGAAUGACUCCUACAUUUUUUAAGGCAGCUCUGAAAUGAAUGGCUUCAUUUAAUCACAAAAGAAGGAAUACCAGCAAGACCACCCAGGCCCCAGCUCCGGUUUUUCCUGAAGAAUUUGGCCGCAUCUCCCUUUUUGAAGGCAGAGUUUCAUCUUGCUCCAGGGAGAAGCAACUUCCUGGGCAUGCGUGUUAAGAGACAAAAAAUGAUGACGUUUGAUGACCACUCCACCAGAAAAGGGAAGAAAGCCUGAGGGGCCUGCGUGGACCUCCCUAAACACACUGCGCAUGCUCCAUUCCAAACGGUAUGGCGAGCACUGCGCAUGCGGGAAACCCACCCUGUAAGGGAAGAAUCCUGGGAAAGAGGCAAGCCUAUGAAGUCCCAGGAUCAAGAUGGGACCAUCUAGUUGCAGGAAAACAAGCUGAGUGAGGAUUCCCACUGAUUCUAUACUAUGAUCAUACCAAUCACCUCUGAGAAGCCCAAUCACUACAACCACUAACCACAACAUAAAUCAACGUGAGGACCUGAGAGCUCGCUUGCUCCCACUCUGUCCCUAGCCCAGCCUGGUUUUUCCAUCACAUGCUUCUUAGGCAGCAGGGAGCUGAGGCAGGGGGAACAUUUAGUUCCUUUUUCAAAGACUGGGAACACUUAAAAAUAUCUCCAAGUAAGCAACCAGCAUUCAGAGGAUGCUUAUUUACACUUUGUAGGAGCCUGGUGUUGGGACUCUGGCUCCUGGAUGGCGUCAAACCUGCCCUUGGGCUUGGCCGAGGCUGGUCUGGGAGUACCAUUUGCAAAUGGCUCUUGCUUCACGGUUGCAUCUCCAUCUGGGUAAACAACCUAGCGACAGCGCUGGCUCUUCUUAAGGCUGUCUGUUAUGGACUGAACUGUGUCCCUCUCAGAUUCACUUGUUAAAGUCCUGACCCCAGUACACCUCAGAAUGUGACUGUAUAUAGAAAUAGGGCAUGUAAAGCAGUCAUGACGGUUAAGUAAGGUCAUAUGGAUUGGCUCUAGUUCAAACGUGACUGGUAUCCUUCUAAGAAGAGGAAGAGACACCAGAGCUCACUCUCUUUCCACGCACACAAUGGCCAUGUGAGCACACUGUGAGAAGAUGCCAUCCGCAAGCCAAGAAGAGAGGCCUUGGGAGAAACCAAACCUGCUGUCACCUUGAUCUUGGACUUCCAGCCUCAAGAACUGUGAGAAAAUAAAUUUCUGCUGUUUAUUCCACCCAAUUUGUGGCAUUUUGUUAUGGCAGCCCAAGCCAACUAAGAUACCAUCCAUGUAAUUUCUUCUUGUAUGGCAAGGUCUUAACAUGAGACAUGAAUGAAUCAAUGGCCAUUUCUAUGCAGAAAUUUAAAAGCAUUCUUGAGUUCUCAUGGGGAGAUUUAAAUUCUCCAUAUAUGAACCCCUCUAGCCUGUACUUUCUUAUAGGAAAAUUCUCUGUGAGAUUGGAAUAUUCCAGAAGUUAACCAAAAGGAUCUUAAUUUACACUCUAUCUCCUAUUCCUCACAUUCCUAGUACUGUUAAUUACUCUCCUUCCUCAACCUCUGCUCCAUCCCUUUGGCAAGCCCAUGCAUUUAGUAGAUGUUUAUUGAGUGCUUCUCUAGGCCAGCUUAGGCUUUAGGCACUGGAGGUACGGGAAUGAAGAAAACAGAUAAGGCACGUGCUCUCACGUGGCUUCCAUCCUAGCAGAGGAAAACAGAAAUAAAAAUAAAUAAAUAAAUAAAUAAGGACUAUGUCAGAUAGUGAAAAGCUAUUCAGGAAUUUUAAAUACAGCAAUGCAAGAAUGACUGAGAGCCUGCUUUGGUUAGGCAGACAGGAACUCUGUCCUUUCCAACUAAAAACCAUUCUACUCCCUCUUCUCUUCUUUCCAUCAGCAUAACUACCCCUUGAGUGCAAGCUCCUGGGCUGGGCUCCUGCAAAAGCAUUCUAAUUGACCUCUCUGCCACCUCCUUUGCACCACUGCAGUUCAUUUUCCACAUAGCAGCUAGGGAAAUAUGUAAAAAACAAAGCUGGUUUUCAUUAUUCACAAUAGCUGUGUUCUAUAAAGUUGCUUCAAACCCUGAAUUCUGGAAUACUGAAGCAUUGCUC
rnacentral:lncRNA from 1 species